AGUCAGGCAGGCACCUGGCAAAGGUCGGCGAAACCUGGACCCACUGUUUGUCUCUCUUCCUGAGUUACUCAAGUUCCUUUGAAGCUCAGUUUAAGUGAGAGGCUGAAUUUGGCUGACAGGGUGUUUUCAAGUGACACGAGUAAUAAACCUGGGAGAGCAUGACUGUUUACAUCUCUGCAGAGAAACUCUGUUCUUUUCUAUGACAGUCGAAGUCCAUUGCACAAGUGUCCCACAAUGGAUGCCGAUGCUUCUGCUUUCUGGGUGGUACAUUAGUCAGACUCGUGUAUUUAGCUUUUAGAAACAACACCUUGAUAAAACUGCUGUGUUUGAGUCUGCAUCUGAGGAGGCAGAGGAUCUGGAGAGAGACAGCACUGAAACUCCCAAACUCCGCAAGUUCAAACUAUGAGACUGUUGGAGAUACAGGGACUGUCAGUGGAUACCGAGGCACUCGGGACAGCAGGAAGAUGCUGCUGUGUCCACCUGAAGGGAAAGUGAUACCAGUGGAGCUGUGUACACAGGAGCUGUGAAUUACCCUUCACUCAGAGCAAGAUGAGGAAAGCAUUAACCUAUUUUAAGUUUAAAAAUAAAGCCUUCUAAGAGGGCUGUGGAUACUACUCAGUGGUAACUCCAUUGUGUAGCACUUGUGAAGCCCUUGGCUGGGCUCUGUUAAGUCUCAAGCCCUGGAACAAAUGGUUGACGCUGCCCCUGCCAGUGCUGUCCCCUUUAUCUACCAUAAAAUUUCUCCUCCACCAUA